UACGUAGGGGGCAAGCGUUGUCCGGAAUUAUUGGGCGUAAAGCGCGCGCAGGCGGCUUUGUAAGUCUGGUGUUUAAACCUAGGGCUCAACCCUGGGUCGCAUUGGAAACUGCAAGGCUUGAGUGCAGAAGAGGAGAGUGGAAUUCCACGUGUAGCGGUGAAAUGCGUAGAGAUGUGGAGGAACACCAGUGGCGAAGGCGACUCUCUAGUACGGUACUGACGCUGAGACGCGAAAGCGUGGGGAGCGAACAGG
rnacentral:rRNA from 1 species